ensembl:rRNA 5S_rRNA 5S ribosomal RNA
CCCUGCUCAGCCAUAUCACCCUGCAACUCACAACUGGCAACCCACUGAAGCUAAGCAGGUGUGAGCCUUGUCAGUACCUGGAUGGGAGACCUCCUGGGAAAAACUAAGGUUGCUGCUGGAA